rnacentral:misc_RNA from 1 species
CGCACAUUGCGCCCCUUGGUAUUCCAUGGGGCAUGCCUGUUCGAGCGUCAUUUGUACCUUCAAGCCUUGCUUGGUGUUGGGCGUUUGUCUGCGUCUAGUCAUGCAGACUCGCCUUGAAUCAAUUGGCAGCCGGUCGUCUGGUAGUAGAGCGCAGCACAUUUUGCGAUCUCUGCCCGUAAGUCGGCAACCAUCAAGUCUACCAUUUUCAACGUUUGACCUCGGAUCAGGUAGGGAUACCCGCUGAACUUAA